GAUAAACGCUGGCGGCGUGCUUAACACAUGCAAGUCGAACGAAGUUUUUCCUUCGGGAGAAACUUAGUGGCGGACGGGUGAGUAACGCGUGGGUAACCUGCCCUGUACAGGGGGACAACAGCUGUAAACGGCUGCUAAUACCGCAUAAGCCCUUAGCACUGCAUGGUGCAUAGGGAAAAGGAGCAAUCCGGUACGGGAUGGACCCGCGUCUGAUUAGCCAGUUGGCAGGGUAACGGCCUACCAAAGCGACGAUCAGUAGCCGAUCUGAGAGGAUGUACGGCCACAUUGGGACUGAGACACGGCCCAGACUCCUACGGGAGGCAGCAGUGGGGAAUAUUGCACAAUGGAGGAAACUCUGAUGCAGCGACGCCGCGUGAGUGAAGAAGUAUUUCGGUAUGUAAAGCUCUAUCAGCAGGGAAGAAAAUGACGGUACCUGACUAAGAAGCACCGGCUAAAUACGUG
rnacentral:rRNA from 1 species